rnacentral:rRNA from 1 species
GGGUCAGUAGGUUGGUCGUGCCACUGGUACGUACUGGUCUCACUGAUUCCUCCUUCCUGAAGAACCGUAAUGCCAUUAAUUUGGUGUUGCGGGGAGACAGGACUGUUACUUUGAAAAAAUUAGAGUGUUUAAAGCAAGCUAACGCUUGAAUACAUUAGCAUGGAAUAAUGAAAUAGGACGAUCGAUCCUAUUUUGUUGGUUUCUAGGAUUGACGUA